rnacentral:lncRNA from 1 species
GAAGCCCCGGCUGCCUGGGUGCCUUCGACCAAGUGAACUGCACAAGGUCCUGAGCUCCACAUCUGUAAACCCGGGCGCGGACAGCACCUGCUCCGUUGGGGGCUGGGAGGACUGAGCUCACACCGGGCUCUUGUCAUCCACGGCAGCCCUUUGCACGCACGUGCGGAUGCGUUCCACGCUGCGCUCACGCCCCUUCUGCCUCAGCCCCCGCAGGAGGGGUGUGGACACUCUGAGACCCUGGUCUCAGAGGAGGGAAGAGCUCGGCUUGGGUGAAACGGCUCCCGGCCCCAAACCAGGCUGAUGCUUCCCCCUGGUUAACAACUGCGGUCCAGGCAGCGGC